AUCAGUGUGGCAGAUUAAAUGCAUUUGACUUAAGAUCAAUUUAUAAUAUAUUUAUAUAUUCUCUGAUG
rnacentral:tRNA from 1 species